rnacentral:rRNA from 1 species
AUACGGUAGGGGGCAAGCGUUGUCCGGAAUGAUUGGGCGUAAAGGGCGCGUAGGCGGCCUGGUAAGUCUGGAGUGAAAGUCCUGCUUUUAAGGUGGGAAUUGCUUUGGAUACUGCUGGGCUUGAGUGCAGGAGAGGUAAGUGGAGUUCCCGGUGUAGCGGUGAAAUGCGUAGAGAUCGGGAGGAACACCAGUGGCGAAGGCGACUUACUGGACUGUAACUGACGCUGAGGCGCGAAAGUGUGGGGAGC